CAGCAGCCACGGUAAAACGAAGGGGGCUAGCGUUGUUCGGAUUUACUGGGCGUAAAGCGCACGUAGGCGGAUCCUUAAGUCAGAGGUGAAAUCCCGGGCUCAACCUGGGGGCUGCGUUUGAUACUUGGUUGCUUGAGUGGGGAAGAGGGUCGUGGAAUUCCCGGUGUAGCGGUGAAAUGCGUAGAUAUCGGAAGGAACACCUGUGGCGAAAGCGGCUCAUUGGACCAUUUCUGACGCUGAUGCACGAAAGCUAGGGGAGCAAACAGGAUUAGAUACCCCAGUAGUCCCUGUCUCUUAUACA
rnacentral:rRNA from 1 species